rnacentral:rRNA from 1 species
UUUGUCUAUUAAUUGUAGACCUGUAUGAAAGGCAACAUGAGAGCCUAACUGUCUCUUAUAACAAAUCAAUUAAACUGAUCUUCUAGUACAAAAGCUAGAAUUCCCCCAUAAGACCAGAAGACCCUGUGAAGCUUUAAUUAACCUAUUAAACCCCAUAAUAGCUAAUUUCGGUUGGGGCGACCUUGGAACAAAAGAAAACUUCCAAACAUGCAACUCACUCGCACCAAAGGCUAACAAGCCACAAUAGACCCAGUACAUCUGAUAAAUGAACCAAGUUACUCCAGGGAUAACAGCGCUAUCUUCUUCAAGAGCCCAUAUCAAAAAGAAGGUUUACGACCUCGAUGUUGGAUCAGGACAUCCUAGUAAUGCAACAGUUUCUAAGGGUUCGUUUGUUCAACGAUUAACAGU